rnacentral:rRNA from 1 species
GAAAAGAACCCCGGCGAGGGGAGUGAAAAAGAACCUGAAACCGUGUACGUACAAGCAGUGGGAGCACCUUCGGGUGUGACUGCGUACCUUUUGUAUAAUGGGUCAGCGACUUAUAUUCUGUAGCAAGGUUAACCGUAUAGGGGAGCCGCAGGGAAACCGAGUCUUAACUGGGCGUUAAGUUGCAGGGUAUAGACCCGAAACCCGGUGAUCUAGCCAUGGGCAGGUUGAAGGUUGGGUAACACUAACUGGAGGACCGAACCGACUAAUGUUGAAAAAUUAGCGGAUGACUUGUGGCUGGGGGUGAAAGGCCAAUCAAACCGGGAGAUAGCUGGUUCUCCCCGAAAGCUAUUUAGGUAGCGCCUCGUGAACUCAUCUUCGGGGGUAGAGCACUGUUUCGGCUAGGGGGUCAUCCCGACUUACCAACCCGAUGCAAACUACGAAUACCGAAGAAUGUUAUCACGGGAGACACACGGCGGGUGCUAACGUCCGUCGUGAAGAGGGAAACAACCCAGACCGCCAGCUAAGGUCCCAAAGUCAUGGUUAAGUGGGAAACGAUGUGGGAAGGCACAGACAGCCAGGAUGUUGGCUUAGAAGCAGCCAUCAUUUAAAGAAAGCGUAAUAGCUCACUGGUCGAGUCGGCCUGCGCGGAAGAUGUAACGGGGCUAAACCAUGCACCGAAGCUGCGGCAGCGACACUAUGUGUUGUUGGGUAGGGGAGCGUUCUGUAAGCCUGCGAAGGUGUGCUGUGAGGCAUGCUGGAGGUAUCAGAAGUGCGAAUGCUGACAUAAGUAACGAUAAAGCGGGUGAAAAGCCCGCUCGCCGGAAGACCAAGGGUUCCUGUCCAACGUUAAUCGGGGCAGGGUGAGUCGACCCCUAAGGCGAGGCCGAAAGGCGUAGUCGAUGGGAAACAGGUUAAUAUUCCUGUACUUGGUGUUACUGCGAAGGGGGGACGGAGAAGGCUAUGUUAGCCGGGCGACGGUUGUCCCGGUUUAAGCAUGUAGGCUGGUUAUCCAGGCAAAUCCGGAUAAUCAAGGCUGAGGUGUGAUGACGAGGCACUACGGUGCUGAAGUAACAAAUGCCCUGCUUCCAGGAAAAGCCUCUAAGCAUCAGGUAACAUCAAAUCGUACCCCAAACCGACACAGGUGGUCAGGUAGAGAAUACCAAGGCGCUUGAGAGAACUCGGGUGAAGGAACUAGGCAAAAUGGUGCCGUAACUUCGGGAGAAGGCACGCUGGUGUGUAGGUGAAGUCCCUGCGGAUGGAGCUGAGACCAGUCGAAGAUACCAGCUGGCUGCAACUGUUUAUUAAAAACACAGCACUGUGCAAACACGAAAGUGGACGUAUACGGUGUGACGCCUGCCCGGUGCCGGAAGGUUAAUUGAUGGGGUUAUCCGUAAGGAGAAGCUCUUGAUCGAAGCCCCGGUAAACGGCGGCCGUAACUAUAACGGUCCUAAGGUAGCGAAAUUCCUUGUCGGGUAAGUUCCGACCUGCACGAAUGGCGUAAUGAUGGCCAGGCUGUCUCCACCCGAGACUCAGUGAAAUUGAACUCGCUGUGAAGAUGCAGUGUACCCGCGGCAAGACGGAAAGACCCCGUGAACCUUUACUAUAGCUUGACACUGAACAUUGAGCCUUGAUGUGUAGGAUAGGUGGGAGGCUUUGAAGCGUGGACGCCAGUCUGCGUGGAGCCAACCUUGAAAUACCACCCUUUAAUGUUUGAUGUUCUAACGUUGGCCCCUUACCGGGGUUGCGGACAGUGUCUGGUGGGUAGUUUGACUGGGGCGGUCUCCUCCCAAAGCGUAACGGAGGAGCACGAAGGUUAGCUAAUCCUGGUCGGACAUCAGGAGGUUAGUGCAAUGGCAUAAGCUAGCUUGACUGCGAGCGUGACGGCGCGAGCAGGUGCGAAAGCAGGUCAUAGUGAUCCGGUGGUUCUGAAUGGAAGGGCCAUCGCUCAACGGAUAAAAGGUACUCCGGGGAUAACAGGCUGAUACCGCCCAAGAGUUCAUAUCGACGGCGGUGUUUGGCACCUCGAUGUCGGCUCAUCACAUCCUGGGGCUGAAGUAGGUCCCAAGGGUAUGGCUGUUCGCCAUUUAAAGUGGUACGCGAGCUGGGUUUAGAACGUCGUGAGACAGUUCGGUCCCUAUCUGCCGUGGGCGCUGGAGAAUUGAGGGGGGCUGCUCCUAGUACGAGAGGACCGGAGUGGACGCAUCACUGGUGUUCGGGUUGUCAUGCCAAUGGCACUGCCCGGUAGCUAAAUGCGGAAGAGAUAAGUGCUGAAAGCAUCUAAGCACGAAACUUGCCCCGAGAUGAGUUCUCCCUGAGACUU